rnacentral:rRNA from 1 species
AACGAACGCUGGCGGCAUGCCUAACACAUGCAAGUCGAACGAAACCUUCGGGUCUAGUGGCGCACGGGUGCGUAACGUGUGGGAACCUGCCCUUAGGUUCGGAAUAACUCCCCGAAAGGGGUGCUAAUACCGGAUAAUGUCUUCGGACCAAAGAUUUAUCGCCGUUGGAUGGGCCCGCGUUGGAUUAGCUAGUUGGUAGGGUACAAGCCUACCAAGGCGACGAUCCAUAGCUGGUCUGAGAGGAUGACAAGCCACACUGGGACUGAGACACGACCCAGACUCCUACGGGAGGCAGCAGUGGGGAAUAUUGGACAAUGGGCGAAAGCCUGAUCCAGCAAUGCCGCGUGAGUGAUGAAGGCCUUAGGGUUGUAAAGCUCUUUUACCCGGGAUGAUAAUGACAGUACCGGGAGAAUAAGCUCCGGCUAACUCCGUG